rnacentral:rRNA from 1 species
AACGAACGCUGGCGGCAUGCCUAACACAUGCAAGUCGAACGAGACCUUCGGGUCUAGUGGCGCACGGGUGCGUAACGCGUGGGAACCUGCCCUUAGGUUCGGAAUAACUCCCCGAAAGGGGUGCUAAUACCGGAUAAUGUCUUCGGACCAAAGAUUUAUCGCCUUUGGAUGGGCCCGCGUUGGAAUAGCUAGUUGGUAGGGUAAAAGCCUACCAAGGCGACGAUCCAUAGCUGGUCUGAGAGGAUGAUCAGCCACACUGGGACUGAGACACGGCCCAGACUCCUACGGGAGGCAGCAGUGGGGAAUAUUGGACAAUGGGCGAAAGCCUGAUCCAGCAAUGCCGCGUGAGUGAUGAAGGCCUUAGGGUUGUAAAGCUCUUUUACCCGGGAUGAUAAUGACAGUACCGGGAGAAUAAGCUCCGGCUAACUCCGUG